AAUAAAACAGUCCCUGUUUGCUAGCAUCCCUUACUUUGGAGAAUGACGCCCACUCCCCUUUUUGAUGAGAAACCCAUCCCCAACCCUCCAAGGCGCUGACCUCCCCAAUCAAUUGGACCCGACCAAUCAAAAGGCCGCCAUCCUUUUGCCCACAGUCAUUGGUCGAAGUGGGCCAAUUAGCAUCCUGUCUUCAACUUUUCUCCUCGAGCUGCUCCCGGAAAUUCCUCUGCCGGGGUUGCUUCAGUUGCCGGUUGGGUUCUUGAGCUGCUGCGGCCUCUCCCACCCCGAAGCACAGACUGAGCUCUGAUGAUACUGUUUGGGCUCCUGGCUGCCGCUGUCAGUUAGGUACAGCAGAGCCCAGAAAUGGAGAAAGAGAAGUCCUGGAUCGUCAUGUCGUCCCCGCAGAUUUCCACCUCCACAAAGGGACAUGCGAUGCUUCGGCCAAGUUUGGGGAGAUGGCGAGCCCCGAGAACCUAGGGCACCAAAGGAUCCACCCGUGGGGAGAGCGCUGAAUAAUAAAGCAUGCUGCCGACGGGGACCCAGCCGUGAGCGGGUGCCAGCAGGUCCGCCAGUUCAUUUUCCAAUCUGUAAAAACAAGCCGUCUGAAUUCCGGAACGGGUCUGGAAGCAUCGCGCUGGGUCUGGUUCCAAGACAACGUCCUAGACGCGCAUUCAGACGUGGCUGUGAGAGGGGACCGUCCAGCCUCCCGGAGCCCAGCUCGAGAGCCUCCUGUGGCUUCUCAGGUCCUCGGGGAGCAAUGGCCGCACUCUGAGAUCUGCCUGACGGGCCGUCCAGGCCCCGGCCAGCCUUCCAGCUCCCCCUCCCACCACACGUUUGCUGCAUCCCAGCGCCCACGUGCGACAGAGAACGUCUGGGUCUCAGGACAGCUAGCAGACCUGCGUCUGCCCCCUGCUUGUAAGGCCCGCCCCCACCCCACCAGGCCAAGGCCGACUGGGGGGUAAGGGCCACACGGGACAGACGCGGUGAGGGGUCACGUCCCUGCCACAGGCCCGGCGUGCCGGACACAGCCACGUUCCCACCACCACACCUUCCGUGAGGCUGUGCCUCCCGCCUGGUUUCCCUUCUGCCAGUCCCGCUACUGGUCUCCAACUGGACUUCUGAGACUCGAACGCCCAUUACUCUGUGCAGCCCUCCCAGAUUGCCCCAACUCCCUGAGGACGUUCCUUGGGCUCGGAAAGGCCUUAAGGUGCUCAUUACGACAAGUCCGUCCUCGGCCCAGUGUCGUCACCUAACAGCAGAUGUUCUUUAGGCCUUCGGGGCAAGAGGAGGCUGGGGGACAGACACCAGGUUGGCAGUGUCACCCCGAGGGCCUCAAUUCACUGCCACUCAAGCCCACCUGCUUUCUCACACCAAGCACGUCCCGAAUGUCUGGCGGCCAAACUAAAUGUGUUCCAUUUGCAAGCUGCUUUAAGCAAAGGACAAAUUCCCCGUUUGGCCAUUUUCGCUCCGGAGGGACCUGUCCUGCAUAUGCAAAGCCUUCCAGCCCGGCACAACCUGAUUAAAACAUGACAGGCUUGUCACAGUGACUUUCACCCCCAGCAACUCCGGGGACAAUCCCGACUUCCCUGUCACCCCGUCGUCCCUGUUCCGGUGCUCCACAGGGACCACGCAGCAGCAUGUGUGACAGGAACCCACGGAGACGGCUCCCCGGAUUGCUGAGAAGCCGGGUCCGCAGGGGUCCCUGUGUGACAGUCCAGACUCACCUGCUUUUCCAGUUCUUCCACAUCGACCGUUGAAAUGUCCUCAACAUAGUUGGAUGGGAAGUAUUGCUGGAUCCUGGUCCCAUAGUCUCCUUUCCACCUGGGGAAAAACAGAGGGCAUCAGAGGGCCUUCGUGGGGCAGAGUUAAUAAUCCAUCACUGUUCGUCAGAUCCCAGCUGCCGGCUGGGGCGAGGCAGCAGGUGGCCAAGCGACCAGAGGCCGUGGUCAUUAUCUGUGACAACAGAGCAUUUCAAAGGGGUCAUCGGCUUUUUUUCAAAUUAGCAGUGAGUGAGCACAGGGUCAGCGCCCUCCCUACAAUAGAAUUCUAACGUUUGGUCAAAGACACCAGAAGCUUCGGUGCUUUACGUGGACGUCAGAGGCCAUUUGGGACAAAAGCUCAAGUCUAGAGCAUUCCCAACCCCACUUCAGGGAGGGCUGUGAACUUAGGGAUAAGGACAGAGUAAGGAAGGUUCUGGAGCCCUACAGGCUGGCAUCACAUUCUGGCUCCACCGCCAACUACAUAGGCACUCUGUGCCCCAGACUCUCCAUCCAUAAAAUGGGGAUAAUCUAA